rnacentral:rRNA from 1 species
CUGUGAGCUCGAUGAGUAGGGCGGGACACGUGGUAUCCUGUCUGAAUAUGGGGGGACCAUCCUCCAAGGCUAAAUACUCCUGACUGACCGAUAGUGAACCAGUACCGUGAGGGAAAGGCGAAAAGAACCCCGGCGAGGGGAGUGAAAAAGAACCUGAAACCGUGUACGUACAAGCAGUGGGAGCACGCUUCGGCGUGUGACUGCGUACCUUUUGUAUAAUGGGUCAGCGACUUAUAUUCUGUAGCAAGGUUAACCGAAUAGGGGAGCCGAAGGGAAACCGAGUCUUAACUGGGCGUUAAGUUGCAGGGUAUAGACCCGAAACCCGGUGAUCUAGCCAUGGGCAGGUUGAAGGUUGGGUAACACUAACUGGAGGACCGAACCGACUAAUGUUGAAAAAUUAGCGGAUGACUUGUGGCUGGGGGUGAAAGGCCAAUCAAACCGGGAGAUAGCUGGUUCUCCCCGAAAGCUAUUUAGGUAGCGCCUCGUGAAUUCAUCUCCGGGGGUAGAGCACUGUUUCGGCAAGGGGGUCAUCCCGACUUACCAACCCGAUGCAAACUGCGAAUACCGGAGAAUGUUAUCACGGGAGACACACGGCGGGUGCUAACGUCCGUCGUGAAGAGGGAAACAACCCAGACCGCCAGCUAAGGUCCCAAAGUCAUGGUUAAGUGGGAAACGAUGUGGGAAGGCCCAGACAGCCAGGAUGUUGGCUUAGAAGCAGCCAUCAUUUAAAGAAAGCGUAAUAGCUCACUGGUCGAGUCGGCCUGCGCGGAAGAUGUAACGGGGCUAAACCAUGCACCGAAGCUGCGGCAGCGACACUAUGUGUUGUUGGGUAGGGGAGCGUUCUGUAAGCCUGUGAAGGUGUACUGUGAGGUAUGCUGGAGGUAUCAGAAGUGCGAAUGCUGACAUAAGUAACGAUAAAGCGGGUGAAAAGCCCGCUCGCCGGAAGACCAAGGGUUCCUGUCCAACGUUAAUCGGGGCAGGGUGAGUCGACCCCUAAGGCGAGGCCGAAAGGCGUAGUCGAUGGGAAACAGGUUAAUAUUCCUGUACUUGGUGUUACUGCGAAGGGGGGACGGAGAAGGCUAUGUUGGCCGGGCGACGGUUGUCCCGGUUUAAGCGUGUAGGCUGGUUUUCCAGGCAAAUCCGGAAAAUCAAGGCUGAGGCGUGAUGACGAGGCACUACGGUGCUGAAGCAACAAAUGCCCUGCUUCCAGGAAAAGCCUCUAAGCAUCAGGUAACAUCAAAUCGUACCCCAAACCGACACAGGUGGUCAGGUAGAGAAUACCAAGGCGCUUGAGAGAACUCGGGUGAAGGAACUAGGCAAAAUGGUGCCGUAACUUCGGGAGAAGGCACGCUGAUAUGUAGGUGAAGCGACUUGCUCGUGGAGCUGAAAUCAGUCGAAGAUACCAGCUGGCUGCAACUGUUUAUUAAAAACACAGCACUGUGCAAACACGAAAGUGGACGUAUACGGUGUGACGCCUGCCCGGUGCCGGAAGGUUAAUUGAUGGGGUUAGCGGUAACGCGAAGCUCUUGAUCGAAGCCCCGGUAAACGGCGGCCGUAACUAUAACGGUCCUAAGGUAGCGAAAUUCCUUGUCGGGUAAGUUCCGACCUGCACGAAUGGCGUAAUGAUGGCCAGGCUGUCUCCACCCGAGACUCAGUGAAAUUGAACUCGCUGUGAAGAUGCAGUGUACCCGCGGCAAGACGGAAAGACCCCGUGAACCUUUACUAUAGCUUGACACUGAACAUUGAGCCUUGAUGUGUAGGAUAGGUGGGAGGCUUUGAAGUGUGGACGCCAGUCUGCAUGGAGCCGACCUUGAAAUACCACCCUUUAAUGUUUGAUGUUCUAACGUUG